UAUUACCUCUUCCGGUGAUUGUUCCAGUUCUUGUUCUUGUUCCUCUGAUUCCGUGUAUUCCGAGGGGUUGGUGGAUUCUUGUUGUUUGUAACCCUCUGGAAAUUUGAACUAGAACUGAAGUCGGCCGAACCAUGACUGUUGCCUUGAUGGCUGUUAGUGUUACCUUGAUGGCUAUUGGUGUCAUGGUUUUGUCUUAAUCUUUCACUACGCCUAAGAUUUUCAAUAGGAUCUUGAAUGGAAGUCGACGGAAUACCAGUAGUAGAUGGAAUAUGUGCAGUAGAAAUAGGUAAUUGAACGACAGUGUUAGUGUCAGUCAAUUGAACAUUAGUUGGUAUUAAUUGUACUCCACUAGGUUGUUGUAAUUUUCGGUAUGCAGUGUUGUCAUUAUAAGCCGCUGUAUCCCGAUCAAGUUUCUUUAUUUUAUUAAUUUUCAGUUUAUCAAUAAGUUGGUUUAUACUAGGGAAAAUCCGACCAUAGUCGUAUCUAUACCUAGAAAAGUCCAAGUCUGUUUUAAUAGAAGAGUCAAUAGUGUCCACCUCUUGUGUAAUGUUUUCAAUGUGUAUAGAGUAGUGUUUCAUCAUGAGUUCCAACAAUUGAAAACCUUGCUGGUCGAAGAGGCAGAUAAGAUCUUUGUGGAAUGUCAUAUCAGGUAAAAGGCCAGUAGGAAAAUGAAAACAACAUAGCCCUUUAGGAACCACUUUGUCCGCUAAACAUUGUUUAAGAUAUGCAACUUCCAAUUGUAGUUUCUUUAGUCUAAGUAAUUUUGUGUCAAGUAGUUUCAAUUUUUCAAUAAUAAAAUGAGUACUCACUGGAUUCAAGCUCGUGGCCGGACGUACCUGGUUAGGCACAAACGCUGUACUGAACGAUUCAGUGUUCCUAACCCAGUCGAUGACUGAAGGGACGCCAAUAAGCCCUGAGUCUUGAUUUUACUGAACGCUAGUUGAAGUAUGUUCAUUAGUGAUCAAAUAGUGCUGCUGGCCAGAAAGACACAAACCGUCUGCAUGGGUCUGUUCCUGGUUAAUGUUGAUGGUAUCUAAACCCAUAUUAGAAGUAGGUGUACGAACACGUUGACCUAAAGGAAAGGAUGCUGGAUUUAAAUGUCUGCUUAGGCAUGAUUUUAUAUGGAAUGUUUUUAUACUGUGUUUCCUACAGCAAUAUUAUGAUAGAGUUAAUGGUUAUCUCAGGUGUGUUUAAUUAAUGGGGGUGUGUGCUUGUAUUAUUUAAAAUUUUUGGAGUGCAUUGGGUUUUAUUCUUUGUUCUGAAGAAGUUCCUGUUGGGACGAAAGUGACAAUAAAGAGCUUUUUUCGCUAAUUUCUGGUAUUUUUCUUCCAAGUUGUGAACUUGUUUUGGAUCCAGCUUCUCCUGAUAGUGGGUUUGUUUUUAGUUGAUCUUAAUGAGGCACACUUGAGAGGUAUGCUUCUCUCUUUUUAUCUUAGCUAAGGAAGAAAUUAGAUACAACAGCAGCAGCAAAAGAGAAGAUUAGAGCAGCAGGUUGAGUCUUCUGGUUCAAAUCUCUUGGAUGCAAACCAGGCAUGUAUCUCCCUGUCUAGGGACAGAUCACUCUAUAUCCAUCCAGGGACGUCCUCUCAGGGUCGGAGUGGAGGCGUCGGUCCUGCAGGCAAUCCAGUAUGUGGCAGCCUGCAAAGGCUCACAGAAAGGGAGCUUUGGAGUUUGGUUGAAGAUGUACUGGUAGGGGUAGCGGACAGGAAAAUUUGGCCAGAUGAAGCCUCGCUUCAUUGUGUAGAAGGAAAACUCGCCCAGUUGGUACCAACCACUGUGCCCGCACAUUUAAUAUUAAGUGUUUUGUUAACUGUAUUUCAGAGUGGGUGAUUUAUUUGGCUGAAUGUCAGUGUUCUGCAUUUUAUGUGGGACAAACUUCCAGACAAUUUAAGAUUCGUAUUUCUGAACAUCUUAGUGACAUUCGUUGUCAGAGAAUGUCUAAUGCUUUAUAUAGGCAUGCUUUGCAACAUCCUACUGCUAAGUUCAGAUUUGCAGCUAUUGAUCGUAUUACUGUUAGAAGAAGUAAUAAAUUAGACUGGCAUAAUAUACUGAAUAAAAAAAUAAAAGUUUUGGAUAACUAAGCUAAGGGCUUUGUUCCCACCAGGCUUAAAUGAUAUGUUAUAAUUGGUGAACGGUAGGGGUGUGUGUCUUGUUCUGUGCAUUUAGGUGCAACUGUGGAUGGGAUUUUUAUUUUUAUUUAUAUUCACACUGAAGAAAGGUUUUGCUGAAACCAGUUUGUAGCAUUCUGUAGCAUUCUGUCUAUUUAUUGUUUUUACAAUAAAUAGUUAUUAGUGGUUCA